rnacentral:rRNA from 1 species
GAGUUUGAUCAUGGCUCAGGAUGAACGCUAGCUACAGGCUUAACACAUGCAAGUCGAGGGGCAGCAUGAAGUCAGCUUGCUGACUUUGAUGGCGACCGGCGCACGGGUGCGUAACGCGUAUCCAAUCUACCGCAUACUCGGGGAUAGCCUUGCGAAAGUAAGAUUAAUACCCGAUGUUGUGGAGUCUCCGCAUGAAGGCUUCACCAAAGAAUUUCGGUAUGCGAUGAGGAUGCGUCCCAUUAGGUAGUAGGCGGGGUAACGGCCCACCUAGCCAUCGAUGGGUAGGGGUUCUGAGAGGAAGGUCCCCCACAUUGGAACUGAGACACGGUCCAAACUCCUACGGGAGGCAGCAGUGAGGAAUAUUGGUCAAUGGACGCGAGUCUGAACCAGCCAAGUAGCGUGCAGGACGACUGCCUUUUAGGUUGUAAACUGCUUUUAUGCGGGGGUAAAGUCAGGUACGUGUACCUGUUUGCAAGUACCGCAAGAAAAAGGACCGGCUAAUUCCGUGCCAGCAGCCGCGGUCC